GCCUUCAUGAAGCCGGAAUUGCUAGUAAUGGCAGGUCAGCAUACUGCCGUGAAUACGUUCCCGGGCCUUGUACACACCGCCCGUCACACCAUGAGAGUUGGGGAUACCCGAAGCCUGUGAGCUAACUUUUAGAGGCAGCAGUCGAAGGUAGAAUCAAUGAUUGGGGUGAAGUCGUAACAAGGUACC
rnacentral:rRNA from 1 species